GUCAAACCCGUGCAAGAGGCGGCGGGAAUACGGAGGGGGCAAGCGUUAAUCGGAAGUACUGGGCGUAAAGCGUGCGCAGGCGGCUUAUUAAGUCAGAUGUGAAAUCCCUAGGCUCAACCUAGGAACUGCAUUUGAAACUAAUAAACUAGAGUAUCGUAGAGGGAGGUAGAAUUCCAGGUGUAGCGGUGAAAUGCGUAGAUAUCUGGAGGAAUACCAGUGGCGAAGGCGACCUCCUGGACGAAAACUGACGCUCAAGCACGAAAGCAUGGGGAGCAAACAGGAUUAGAUACCCGAGUAGUC
rnacentral:rRNA from 1 species